GGACAGUUAGCUCAGUUGGUUAGAGCAUCUCGUUUACACCGAGAGGGUCACAGGUUCGAAUCCUGUACUGUCUA
rnacentral:tRNA from 1 species